UACCAGCACCCCGAGUGGUCGGGACGUUUAUUGGGCCUAAAGCAUCCGUAGCCGGUUCUACAAGUCUUCCGUUAAAUCCACCUGCUUAACAGAUGGGCUGCGGAGGAUACUAUAAGACUAGGAGGCAGGAGAGGCAAGCGGUACUCAGUGGGUAGGGGUAAAAAUCCGUUGAUCCAUUGAAGACCACCAGUGGCGAAGGCGGCUUGCCAGAAUGCGCUCGACGGUGAGGGAUGAAAGCUGGGGGAGCAAACCGG
rnacentral:rRNA from 1 species